CCCUCUGCACAUGGUUUUACAUGGUUUAUUAUAUAAAAUCCCUCUACGUUUAUAUUUUGCUUAUUCUGGCGACAUUGCAGAAAAAAAACUUCCAGUGAAUUUACUAGGCAGAAUUUAAACGGAGAAGCAAGAAGGAUUUGAAAUUUAAAUUCAGAGCGAAAAUCUCUUGAAGUGAUCGCAAAGAUUCGAGAUCGAAUCACGCAGCGACAUUCCUACGCUCCAGACGAUUCUAACGAGCUCGAUUUUGUGUAGAUUGGAAACUUUUUGACACAAAUUUGCUGGAUUCUUUCUGAACUUCUAGUCGGAAAGGACUCUGAAAAUCUCGGAAGUAUCCUGGAUUUCUUUAGCUAGAAAAGGUGUCUUACAUCGGAAGUUCGGAAGAUUUUCAAAAAGAAUUUCUGUGCCGAGGAUAGGAAGAGCUCAACGUUCGGCAGCCGAGGAAAACAGAUGGCGUAACAAUGGUUAGAGAUUCUCUGCAUAUUCGUGCAUUUUGAAGGGUUUCAACUUACCUUUGCUGAAUUUCGCUUUGAAUUCUCCGGUCAGGAAGCUGAGGGAUAAUUCGCUUGUUGCACUGUAGGUUGGAAAUAAAAUAUUAAAAUCUCCUACUUAAGACAUCCGAUUUCAUUAUUUACAACGCUUCCAAAACGACUUCACCAGAUCACGAAGCGACCUUCCUAUGCUCCAGACGAUUCUAGAGAGCUCGAUUUUUGUGUCGAUUGGAAACUUUUUGACACAAAUUUUCAGGAUUCUUUCCGAGCUUCUAGUCAGAAUGGACUCUGAAAAUCUCGGAAGUAUCCGGAUUUCUUUCGCUUGAACAGGUGUCUUACAUCGGAGGUUCGGACGAUUCUCAAAAAGUUUCCUUCGGCUUUUCAGAAUUUUUGUGCCGAAGAAAGGAAAAGCUCAGCGUUCGGCCGCCGAGGAAUAUAGAUGGCGAAACAUUCACUUGUUGCAAUGUAGAUUGGACAAAAAUUUUAAUAUCUCCUGCUCUAGACAACCGAUUUCUUUAUUUACAACGCUGCCAAAACGAUUUGUCCAGGUACGAUAGAAAUUUCAUAAACUUCCAUGUAUUGGCGAAGGAUUUAUAAUUGCUCAGCUUCCAAAUUUUAGAAGAAGGAUGACAUUUUAGCAUACACCGUUCUGUGAACAUUUUCUAUGAUCUACGCAAAGUUUAAUUUGCCGAUUUACCAAGAGCUUAGAGGAGGAGAAGACAACUAGGGCAAAGUAUGAGGUCAUAUUUGAAAGCCUACUUCAGUGUUAAAUCUAUUUGGGCACUGCUUUGCCUGACAGCCUUAUUAUUAUUUCUUCCUUUGGUUCUGCCGCCUCUUCCUCCUCCUCCUCUUAUACUGAUGCUCAUUCCUGUUAUCAUUCUUCUCGUGCUUGUCAUUAUGGCAAUAAGGCCUCGUAAUGUCUCCGACAUGGUUAUCUGUUCAUUUUGAAAAUCCCGCCUUCACUCAAAUUAAAUUAAAUCUUCAAGAUGAUAAUCAUUUCAAUGUAUUUUUUUAGAAAUCCUUCGGACAGGCGAAUCUUCACAACUUGAUUGUCAAAGGAUUUUAGCUUACACUUUUUAAAAUUAAUGCAAUUUGUUAUUUUUUCA